rnacentral:rRNA from 1 species
GACGAACCGUCCGAACGUUAUUCGGAAUCACUGGGCUUAAAGGGUGCGUAGGCUGCGCAGCAAGUUGGGUGUGAAAUCCCUCGGCUUAACCGAGGAACUGCGCCCAAAACUGCUGUGCUCGAGGGAGAUAGAGGUGAGCGGAACUUAGGGUGGAGCGGUGAAAUGCGUUGAUAUCCUAAGGAACACCGGUGGCGAAAGCGGCUACACUGGAUCUCUUCUGACGCUGAGGCACGAAAGCUAGGGUAGCGAACGGG